UACGAAGGGGGCUAGCGUUGCUCGGAAUCACUGGGCGUAAAGCGCACGUAGGCGGCUUUUUAAGUCAGGGGUGAAAUCCCGGAGCUCAACUCCGGAACUGCCUUUGAUACUGAAGAGCUUGAGUCCGGAAGAGGUGAGUGGAACUCCUAGUGUAGAGGUGGAAUUCGUAGAUAUUAGGAAGAACACCAGUGGCGAAGGCGGCUCACUGGUCCGGUACUGACGCUGAGGUGCGAAAGCGUGGGGAGCAAACAGG
rnacentral:rRNA from 1 species